UUUAAUAUGGCAGAUUUAGUGCAUUGGAUUUAAACCUCAAAUAAAAAGUAUUUUUCAAUCUUUUAUUA
rnacentral:tRNA from 1 species